CGGUAAUUCCAGCUCCAAUAGCGUAUAUUAAAGUUGUUGCGGUUAAAAAGCUCGUAGUCGGAUUUCUGGGCGGGUGCGCCGGUCCACGCUCAGCGUGAGCACUGGCGCACGGGCCCUUCCUGGUGCGCACCGUCGCGUCUUCAUUGGCGCGUGCGGGGCAUGCCUCAUUUACUGUGAGCAAAUUAGAGUGUUCAAAGCAGGCUAUUGCUGUGAAUACAUUAGCAUGGAAUAAUGGAAUAGGACUUUGGUUCUAUUUUGUUGGUUUCCGGGACCGAAGUAAUGAUUAAUAGGGAUGGUUGGGGGCAUUCGUAUUUCGGUGUCAGAGGUGAAAUUCUUGGAUUUCCGAAAGACGAACACCUGCGAAAGCGUCUGCCAAGGACGUUUUCAUUGAUCAAGAACGAAAGUUAGGGGAUCGAAGACGAUCAGAUACCGUCGUAGUCUUAACCAUAAACUAUGCCAUCUCGGGAUCGGCGGAUGUUGUUCAGACGCCGCCGGCACCGUAUGAGAAAUCAAAGUUUUUGGGCUCCGGGGGGAGUAUGGUCGCAAGGCUGAAACUUAAAGGAAUUGACGGAAGGGCACCACCAGGAGUGGAGCCUGCGGCUUAAUUUGACUCAACACGGGGAAACUUACCAGGUCCAGACAUAGGUAGGAUUGACAGAUUGAGAGCUCUUUCUUGAUUCUAUGGGUGGUGGUGCAUGGCCGUUCUUAGUUGGUGGCUUGAGUUGUCUGGUUAAUUCCGUUAACGAACGAGACCUCAGCCUACUAAAUAGUCACGGUUCGUCCGCGAGCCGGCCGACUUCUUAGAGGGACUAUCGGCGUCUAGUCGAUGGAAGUUUGAGGCAAUAACAGGUCUGUGAUGCCCUUAGAUGUUCUGGGCCGCACGCGCGCUACACUGACCGUGUCAACAAGUGAUAACCUUGGCCGGAAGGCCUGGGUAAUCUUUUGAAACGCGGUCGUGAUGGGGAUAGAUCAUUGAAACCUGGAUCUUCAACGAGGAAUUCCUAGUAAGCGUGAGUCACCAUCUCGCGUUGAUUACGUCCCUGCCCUUUGUACACACCGCCC
rnacentral:rRNA from 1 species